GUAUAUAAGAAGAAACGUUAUGUUCUCUUGAGACGUUUUUUUGCUUUGCUGUGAGAUAAGUCAAGAGUUGAUUUGGUUGGCUGUUGAAUAUAUAGUGUUACAUUUUCAUUUGUUGUCAUUUGUUUAGUUGUUACUUUAGAUGUGUAAACAUUCAAGAUAAAAGUGAAGCAUGCGACAAAAAAUAUCUGUUGUAGGGAAAAUUGUUGUAUACUGGGACAUUUUCUAAUUUUAAUAUACACUAAUCACAAAAAGUCUCGCAUAAUUUUUGAAAUAGAAAAGAAGUUUAAAAACAAUUUUCAAUUUUUAGCAGAAUGUUAUAAUACUCGUCUAUCGUCUUCUUUGGGUGUCUACAAACCCAUAACAUUUCAAGUUGAAGCGUGUUUUUGCAGACAAAGAAACAGUAAACACAACGUUGUUAAAACAUAGAGUUGCCAGAUUGGGGUAUUUCCCCCCUAUUUUGGGGUAAUUUGAAAGUGUCUGGGGGAAUUUUUAUGAGCAGAAAUGGUUGGAGGAUUUUUUGGGGGAAAAUUAUGAAGGAUUUUAACGGUCAUGGUAAAUUAAAUUUGCGAAUGUACAUAGAAAGAACUGUAUAUUAUUCUACUGUCAUAAAUUAUUGAAGACGAUAGAACCUAUAAAUUAUGUCAGUUCCCUCUGUUGAUAAGUAGUAUAAUUUUGGUUUACUGUUCUCUACAUUUGACUACUACUGCUACUAAUUUAUUAGCUUUGUUCGCGGAGACAGUCCAUGGCUGGUUUCGGACUGAUUCGCAUGCGCAGUUCCGUUUUCAAGAACUUGAAAACGGAACUGCGCAUGCGCAUUUGUGUCUCCGCGAACAAAGCUAUUAUAAUGCGCCAAAAAUUUAAAUUUGGGGGAUUUGAGCUUAAAUUUGGGGGAAUUUUAGUUUAAAACUGGGGGAUUUAAAAAAUCGCAUCUGGCAAAACAGAAUUUUGGACAUUUGUGUUCCGAGAAUUUGAUCUGUGCACUAUGUAUACUUUGAGUUUUCAAUGAGAAGGUGCGUUCUUACAAAAAAUGAGUAAUACAACGUCAGAAAAAGCAGACCAAAUGGCAGACCUUUAAUUGGAGAUGUACGAUCGCAGCAAUAUGUUGCUGAUGUUAUGGGAAUCCAACAAUCCAGUGUUUCAAGAGCUUUAAGAAGGUGUAGAGAAAGUAGAGGAUUAAGAGGAUACACAAGAAGACCAGUUUCACGACUUCCCAGGUUCACGAACCCCGCAGGUGAACGUUAUUGACAUCUGCAGACAUUGUGUACACAUAAUGUUACAGCUAGGCAACUGUGAAAGUUACAGCUUGACAACAAAAUAUGUACGCAAAGUCUGCAGAUGUAAAUAACGCUCAUCUGCGGGGUUCGUGCACCUGGGAAGUCCUGGAACUGGUCUUCUUAAAUAUCCUCCACUUUCUCUAUACCUUCUUAAAGCUCUUGAAACGCUGGAUUCCAAUAACAUCAGCAAUAUAUUGCUGCGAUCUUCCAUCUCGAAUUAAACCCACAAUUUUGUCUGCGUGUUCUGACCUUAUAUUACUCAUUUUUUGUCAGAACGCAUUUCUUCAUUGAAAACUCAACCAGAUAUAGUGCAAAAUUAAAAAUUAUUAUUAAACUUUUUUUCUGUUUCAAAAAUUAUGCCAUACUUUUUGUGAUUAGUGUAUUAGUCUAAAUGUAAAAAGUACUUUAAUUUAGUAAAAAUGCAUAAAACUACUAGAGUUACUAUACGACAACAUCAUAUUUCAUAGUGGAAUUUGUGAUAUUUGGACAUUUUGUUACUAACGAAUGAAUAAGUAUAUUACUAAUUAUUAGUUUUCUAUAUUAAAUGAAAAAAGUCAUAAUUAAAAAGCCAUAGUUUUGCACCAGGUCUGUUUUAUCAUCGUCUUUCUAUUCUGUAAGUUUAAAUGGAGCCGUUUUCUCCCAUAAGUUGAGUAAUUAUUCAGUCGACUCGAUUUUCGCUACUUUCGUUUUUUUAAUAGGAGAUUGUUGAAAGCAAUCUUCUUUUUUUAUUAUUUUUUAUGAGUGGAGCCUUUAGAAACUGUCUUUAGAGCAGGUUUUGUAGCAGCAUGGUUCGAGAUUAAUUAUAUUCAGUUACAGUCAUCCAUAAUAUUACAUUAGUACUUUUACCUGCAUUUUUCCUAUCUUUGGAAUAUUCUUGAGUUAAAAGCAAAAUUUCUCCUUCAUUAUACCUUAAUUUUAUUAACUGGUGUGAAGGCAGUUGCAAAUGCUUUUCUUCCUAAAAAUUUGGCCAUUGAGCGAGACAUCUGGACUUUACCAUCAGUUUAUCCACAGGGUUAUUGUAAUAUUCCCUAAAUUGUCCAAAGUAUGUAAUACCAAGUCUAUAACUGCAAUUGGGAACAGGGAACAGUAUUAUUGUUGCAAUACAAACAUUACUUAGUAUUAGUAAUGUGCUUAAAACAUUCUAAAAACAUUGUUCCAGUAAUCCAAGCAUUUGUAUUUACUCCUUUGUAUUCCAGUUGUGCACUUUAAGCAUAUGUGUUUAAAUUUUUUCUUAAGAAUACAAAAAUAGGUGACAUAUUAGCUAUUAGCAGUGGCAUAAUUUGUUACAAGCACCAUUUUUUCAGCGCUAGUUGACUUGCCUACUACUUGUUUCUUCGUCUAAAAAAAUUCAUAUAAAUACGACAUUUUAUAAACUUAAAAAUUUCUAUUUGCUCUUCAUUAGUUCCUUUAAAUACCCUUACAUAAUAACUAUGUAAAGCAUAACCUUAAUUUCUGCAGCAGAAUCGAUAGUGUUUGUAUGAAGGUACGCGCCGAACACUUUGCGCCGUGUGUGCGGUACGCGAUCUUGGCGGGUUCCUUAGAUUAGUACGUGUUUUCAAGUGGCACACAAACGGUGCGCACACGAUCCAACUUCUGUGCGCAUGUCUAUACAUACCUUUAGGUAAUCAUUAACGACGCCCAAUACAAUUGGUUUCAUUUUUCUGCUUUUUCUAAAAUAACAUGCUCGCUCCUUUUGUGCUUUUAUUGUUCUAUUAACAUUCUUAUUUCUAAUGAUUGACAUUAUCAUUUAGUAUAUUUGUUGAUACAUUGUUGGACAGUUCCACUGUAACCCAAAAGUUGUUCCACGACUUUUUAGGUUAUGAUUUGAUAUUUUAUAAUGAAAAAUGUAUUUAAUUUCAAAUUUUGCACAAAAUUUGAAUUGUCCCAGUAUAGAACGUGUUUAAUUAUAAUACAUUUUCUUCCCAUAUCUGAAUGACACUUAAAUGGGAAACUUAAUGGCAUUAACAGACUUCUCACAUAUUUUAUGACCAAUCUUAGACUGUGGUUGUGAUAACAGAUUAAGAGAAAGAAUUAGGUUUAUACCCCCAUUGACAAAAAUAUGGAAUAUUUUGAAAUUAUCGCAAAUAUGUUCAAUGUGAUGGGUAGAUGUUACCAAAUAAUUUUUUGCUAAAAAGAAAACCUAUUUAAAUAAAUAAAUAAAUACUUUUCUUUUCUUUUAGAAAAACAUGGUAUCUGUAUAGAAUUAGUCAAUUAGGCAAAUAAACAAACACAUUAAACAAACUAACAACAAAAAUAGUAGCAUUUAGAAUUGAAGAUAUUCUUCAACUGAAUAAAAAAUGUGUUCAAUGAAAUUUUCUUUAAAUUUACUUAUUUUAUUUACUUAUUUAAUUUACUUAUUUAAAUUUACAUGCUCUUACACAAUUGAAUAUGCAUUAUUAUUUAUUUAACACGUUUUAAGUGAAUAAUUAAAAAAAUUAAACCCAUUUUAAGUAAUAAUUAAAAAAAAUAAACAUUGAAAUUUUUGGAAUGAAAACAAAAAAUAUCUUGUAACUAAGUAUUACUUAAGACGUCAUAUUUUAAUGUUUUGUUUAAAAAACAAUAAAAUUAAUAGAGUAUUCCCUCCUCGAUUUUUGACAACUGCUUGGAACCGUCUUGGGAUACUCUGAAUUAAAUCCAUAUUUGCUUGACGAAUUGUAUUCCAUUCUUCUUGUGCUGCAAUCCUUAUCUCUCUCAUUAGCAUAGGAACGGGAUGUCUUUUCCGAAUAUGGCGUUUUAAAGUGUCCCACGCAUGCUCGAUCAGAUUUAAAUCCGGCCUAUAUGGUGGCUAAUUCAAAUUAAACCUCAUCAAGGUAAGCAUUCAUUAUUCUAGGGAUAUAAAACUUGUGUUAUCGUGCAUUAGCACGAAUCUGUCAUAUCCAUUACGGUUGACAAAUGGCAAAACCUGAUCUAAAUGUUUUCAAUGUACAGGUCAGCUGUCAUUGGUUCAAUAACCUCGGUUUGGUACGUCCUUCUCAAGCUAAACUGCCCCAUUUGUAUUAUACUCAUCUGGAAUCUCUCAUGCUUCAAUUUUAUUGAAUAAUACUCAUAUAAAGGAUACGAUCCUUGCGCUUCCAUAUUUCAGCAGUUCCAUUUUGAUGUUCCCUGGUCCUGGUGCUUUGUUAUUUUUGACUUUCUUUAGUGCUAUAGUUAUAUAUCCUCUGUAAUUUUGGCUUCCUCCGUCAUUGUUUUCACAGGGUCCUGUCAACUAUACCCCUGUCUAUUUUCCUGCAAUAAUUUUGUAUGUCCAAUAAUACUUUGUCCACUCUUUUGAUGUAAUUAUCUCUAUGAUAUUUUUACUUCGUUUAUUACUUAUGUUUUUUUAUUUUUUUCCAUGCUUCCACUGAUCUGUUAAACCCUAUAGUAAUAAUAGGUUUAGCAAAAUAUUCCGUAAUUAUUUCAAGUUAUGGUGUCAUAAUAUAAAUAUUCCAUAUUUUUGUUCAUGAGUAAUAUAACUGAAUUUUGAAGUACACCGGGGUGCAAAAUUAAUCGGCCACCUUAGAAAUGAGUCAUUUUUGAUGUCUCAAAUUUCCUGAACCUGCUGUCCGAUUUAAGUGAUUUUUUAAUAUAUUAUAGCCUUAUUCUUAACAAUAUCGCUGUAAUAGUAUUGUUGCUAAACAGUUAAAUUUUCAUUGUAUACCGGGUGUACCAAUCCAACUGUGUUUUUUUCUCAAAGUUCGCAUCAUCCUGUGGAAUAUUCUAGCAUUUAUAAAAUACUGAAAUUAAAAUCAAACUAUAGCUUUAUGUUUUCUCAACAUUUUGUUUUUUGAUUCAUUCGUUUAUGUUGGAUAAUAAAAUAGUUAGAUACUUUAACAACUAGCCAUGUUUUUCAUCAAUACAGGGUGUUUUUAAAUAAGUAGUGCAAACUUUAAGGGGUAAUUCUGCAUGAAAAAAUGAUGACAGUUUGCUUUAUAAACGGUAUGUCCGCAUAUGCUUCGUUUCCGAGAUAGGGGGUGAUGAAAUUUUUCUUACAAAUUGAUGAUUUAUUUAUUGCUUUAAAACCGGUUGAGAUAUGCAAAUGCAAUUUGCUGGGUUUUAAGACGUAGUUACUGUACAUUUUUUCACGUACAAGAAUUUAAUUUUCACCAUUGGAGCGUAUACGGGUAAUAUGACGGCUCAUAUUACCCGUAUGCGCGCCAAUGGUGAAUAUUAAAUUCUUACUUGUAUGUGAAAAAAUGUACAAUAACUACGUCUUAAAACCCACCAAAUUUCAUUAGCAUAUCUCAACUGGUUUUAAAGCAAUAAAUAAAUCGUCAGUUUGUAAGAAAAAUUUUAACACUCUAUCUCAGAAACGAAGCAUUUGCGGACAUAGGUUUAUAAAGCAAACUGUCAUUGUUUUUUCAUGUAGAAUUACCCCUUGAAGUUUGCCAUACUUAUUUAAAAACAUCCUGUAUUGAUGAAAAAUAUGGAUAAUUGUUAAAGUACCUAACUUUUUUAUGGUCCAACAUAAGCGAAUUAAUCAAAAAACAGAAUGUUGAGAAAACAUGAGGCUACAGUUGGGUUUUAAUUUGAGUAUUUUAUAAAUGCUAGAAUAUUAAACAGGGUGAUGGGAAGAUUGAGAAAAAAAUACAGUUUCAUUGAUACACCCGGUAUACAAUGAAAAUUUACCUGUUAAGCAACAAUAUUAUUACAGCGAUAUUGUUAAAGAAUAAGGUUGUAAUAUAUUAAAAAAUCACUUAAAUCGGACAACAGGUUUAGAAAAUUCGCGACAUCAAAAAUGAACAAUUUUUAAGGUGUCCGGUUAAUUUUGCACCCCAGUGUAUGUUUUCUUUUUCGUUGUCUAAAACGAAACAACUAUAUAAUAAUACAAAUACAACUACUUAAUAAUUGCCGAAUAAUACUGCCGAUACGAUGUAUAACGUGUUGUUUCACUUUUAUCUAAAUGAUUUGCACGAAGUUUAUAAUUUUAUUAGCAUUGUUUAACGAAUUUAGAUUUGUUUGUAUGUAAUAUUUCGUAAUCACUAUUUAUUUUCUUUGGUCACUACUAACAACAUUUAAUUUUUGUGUUAAGCAUUCGGGUAAUAUACAGGGUGUAACAAAAAGACAGGUCAUAAAUUAAAUCACAUAUUCUGGGACCAAAAAUAGUUCGAUUGACCCUAACUUACUUUUGUACAAAUGUACACAUAAAAAAAGUUACAGCCCUUUGAAGUUACUAACUGAAAAUCGAUUUUUUUUCCAAUAUAUCGAAAACUGAGGUUUUUUUAUUUAAAUUGGACAUGUGGCAUUCUCAUGUCAGGAACAUCUAAAAAAACAGUGAAAUUUGUGCACCCCAUAAAAAUUUUAUGAGGGUUUUGUUCCCUUAAACCCCGCCCAUUAUUUGUGUAUGUUCCAAUUAAAUUAUUAUUGUGGUGUCAUUAGUUAAACACAAUGUUUUUAUAACUUUUUUGCCUCUUGGUAUUUUUUCGAUAAACCAGUUAUCGAGAUAUUUUGAACAUUUGUAAAAUUCACCACAUAUUUUUAAGUGAUUAAGUAAGAUUAUAGAGACCUGGAAAUAAUAUUAUGAAAAUAAUAUUCUAUCAUCUUACUUAACCAUUUACAAAUUUGUGGUGGAUUUUACAAAUAUGUAAUCAAAAUAUUUCGAUAACAGCUGGCUUAUCUAAAAGUACUGAGAGGCAAAAAAGUUUUAAAAACGUUGUGUAAUUAAUGUAUUUGAAACGUAGACAAAUGUUUGGGUGGGUUUAAGGGAACAAAACGCUCAUAAAAUUUUUAUGGAGUUCUCAAAUUUCACUAUUAUUUUUUUAAGAUGUUCCUACUGUAAGAAUGCCACAUGUCCACUUUCAAUAAAAAAUCUCUAAUAGGUUUCGACAUAUUGAAAAAAAUCGAUUUUCAUUUUGUAACUUCAAAGGGCUGUAACUUUUUUAUGCACAUUUGACCUAAGGUAAGUUACGUUCAGUCGAACUAUUUUUGGUCCCAGAAUAUGUGAUUUAAUUUAUGACCUGUCUUUUUGUUACACCCUGUAGUACAUCUAAGGGGCUGUCCCUUCCUAUACUCCUGUAACUUGCAACUGAAUCAUAGUUUAUAUUAAAUAUUUAUGGGAGGUACUAAUCUCAGUGUUUGGUCCUUCUAAAAGUCAAUAUAGCCUAUCUCGAAGCUGCAGAAAUAUAUUUUUAUGAAAUUAAUUUUUUUAGUAAUUAAGUUUUCAGUCAUUAGUUCAGGGGGAUUAUGUUUUAUGGAAAAACUUUGUUUUGGUAUAUAUGCCUAUUUUAUUUUUGGUCAGGAAUGUUAGUAUAAUAUAAUUCGUACAUUGAUAAUGUUUAUUUCUUACUACUUAAAAAAGGUUUUUUUUUUUCAAAGAGGCAUUAAUAAAAAUAAAGGUUUUCCUAAAAACGUUGUUGAAAUAUUUUAGAUCUAGUCAGUAAAUUAAGUAGGAUAGAAUCCAAAAUUGCUUAUACGGCUCAUCUACAUAUAUUAUUAAAAAUAAAAUAACAUAAAACAUUUAUAUAUAAAAAUUAUGGUCAAAAUAUUGAAAGAAUAAAAAAAUAUGGUUUUGGAAGGGUUGUUAAUAACUGCUACUUUUUUGGGAGAUAUAGCAUCCUAAGAUUUAUAAUAAGUCAUAAACUAGAAUAUUGGAAACUAUAGGAAAUAUCGUGUUAUUUAUUGAUAAGCUGCUUCUGUUCAUCUGUUUAUAAUUUUUCAAUUUUUGCCAAAACAGUACAUGCAAGAUCAUGGUGUGAUGCAUUUUCCUCCUGACAGAAACUCUAGGUAAUUCAAAACUAGACUAAAUUGGUAAUUUUUCUGUCUGUAUCCUAUGCGUAUGGGGUUAUAUUAUCACUGUUGCUAUUUAUACAGGGUGUUAGUAAAUAAGUAUGAAAAACUUUAAGGGGUAAUUCUAUAUGAAAAAAUAAUGACAGUUUGCUCUAUAAACGUAUGUCCGCAAAAGCUUCGUUUCCGAGAUACAGGUUGUUGAAAUUUUUAUUUCAAACUGCUAAUUUUUUUAUUGCUCCAAGACCGGUUGAGAUAUAAAAAUUACUUUUAGUGAGUUUUAAGAGGUACUUAUUGCACAUUUUUUGACAAACAAAUAACAAAUUUGUAUUCGUCAUUGGCGCGCCUACGUGUAAUGGUCUGAAUUUUUUUAAAGAAAAAAAUGGUACGCCACUGAGAUAUUUCAGAUUAAAAAUUAUUUUUGUAUUCCUUGUUUAAUUUAUGAUGAAGAACCUUUCUUGUAUUUUUUCAUAUGGUGCACCGUUUUUAUGCGAAGAAAUAAAACAUCUUCGCACGUAUUUUUCAUUUCUUAAUACAUUAUCAAGAACUCUUUAAUAUAAUAAUACGACCAAAGUAGAACAAUAACAGAAAAUAUUACUAAAAAGAUUUUAACUAAGUGCAAAGCUACAACAAAUGUUCAAAAUUACCUCCUUUAAGGGUGACAGAAUAAAUUUAUAUUCACCAUUGACGCCCAUACAGGUAAUGGUCUGAAUUUUUCAAAGAAAAAAAAAAUAGUACACCACUGAGAUACGUUAAAUCAAAAAUAAUUUUUGAAUUCCUCGUUCAAUUUACGACAGAAAAUCAUUCUUAUCUUUUUUUCAUAAUAUGCGGCGCCGUUUUUAUACAAAAAAAAAAAAAAUAAAAUAUCUUAACACUUACAAAUUAUUUGAGGUAGAAUCCAUAUGCAUAGAAACUUAUUUCAAAUACAUUGUAAACGUUAAGAUGUUUUAUUUUUUGGCAUAAAAACGGCGCCUCAUAUGAAAAAAAGAUAAGAACGAUUUUUUGUCGUAAAUUGAACGAGGAAUUCAAAAAUGAUUUUUAAUUUGACAUAUCUCAGUGGCGUACUAUUUUUUUCUUUAAAACAUACGGGCCAUUACCCGUACGCGCGCUAAUGGUGAAUAUAAAAUUACUGUCACCUUUAAAGGAGGUAAUUUUGAACAUUUGUUGUAGCCCUGCACAUAGUUAAAAUCUUUUUAGAAAUAUUUUCUGUUAUUCUAGUUUGGUAUUAUAAUUUUGGAGGGUUCUUGAUAAUGUAUUACGAAAUGAAAAAUACGCGGGAAGACGUUUUAUUUUUUUGCAUAAAAACGGUGCACCAUAUGAAAAAACGACAAGAAAGGUUCUUCAUCAUAAAUUAAACGUGGAAUACAAAAAUAAUUUUUAAUUUAAAAUAUCUCAGUGGCGUACUAUUUUUUUCUUUAAAAAAAUUCAGACCAUUACCCGUAGGCGCGUCAAUGAUGAGUACAAAAUUGUUAUUUCUAUAUCAAGAAAUGCGCAAUAACUACCUCUUAAAACCCACUAAAUUUAAUUUCCAUAGCUCAAACGUCUUAGAGUAAUAAAAAAUUUCGCAGUUUGAAAUAAAAAUUUCAACACCCCGUAUCUCGGAAACGAAGCAUUUGCGGACAUACGUUUAUAGAGCAAACUGUCAUUAUUUUUUCAUGUAGAAUUACCCCUUAAAGUUUUUCAUACUUAUUUACUAACACCCUGUUUAAGAUUUCCGUUCCCGAUUUAAUAUGAUGCAUGAUACUUUUAAGUUCCUUUAUUGGCUUUGCUUUACCCGUAUUAACCGUCGCUUCAAGUUAAGUUGGUUUUUAUUUCAGAAUUCAGCAUUUUGGUAUCAUUUGGUGCCACCUCAAGCGUUCCUCUGAUAUCUUCAUCCAAUACGAGGAAUCCAUCUCGGCAUUCCCACUUCCGCCUUCAUGCAUUCGUUGUUCUUCUUUUUAACUGUCCAGUGAUAUUUGUUGAGUCCCCUAUGAACGUGAAGUUUAAUUUUUAGGUAUAUAAUUACGUACGUCACUGCGUCUAAAAUAUUUCAACAAUAUUAAACUCAAAAUUAUGUUUAUUGAAAAGGAAUAAUUAUGUUUAUUGAAAAGGAAAGUGAUAAAAUCUGUGAUUUUCGGGAUAUAUUUAUUAGUAUCUUACAGUAUAGUUUAUUCUUGAUGUAUAAUUUUCUAGAAUACAAUAAGAAUAGAAAAUAUCGAUAUUUGUCACUCCAUCCACACUUAUUUAUGUACUUAAUGUUUAUAUGAUGGGGUUGCAAAUAUUGACGAACUCUAGUUCACGAAGUUGAUAAAUAUUUUUGUUUGAUUAUCCUUUUCAUUAAACACCAUGAAAUAAGUAGACUUAAUAUUUGUACGUGCACAUUGAUAUUAAUAUAGAUGUGAUUUUCUUGCUGUCCAGCGAAUUCUUCAUUUAGUAAAUAAGCUGUAUUUUUUAAGUGUACAUUAGUUCCACUAAACACAUUUUUCAAAGGUUCUACCGAUUCUUUACUAACAGGGUAAGGCGUGCGUCGUUCGCUCACGAGGCGGUGACUGUCACGGUAUUGUUCAGUCAAGGGCACGUAGUGACGUUUCGUUGCGUUGUGCCGUUCGUCGGUUUCGUGGCUCCGACAAGGCUUGCCUUUCGGAUAGCCGGCUAGCGUUUGUGUGCUUCGUUUCGAGCAUCAACUAACCACCACCCUGAUUCGAUUCGAUGAGACUGUCAGACGGAGAGUUUGACUGGGGCGGUUCAUCUGUCAAAGAAUAACGCAGGUUUCUUAACCCUUUAACUGUUACAUUUUUUUGGAAGACAUUUUCUACUGGCAAUGGAAGUUUGAAUGUGCAUGUGUCACGGAUCCGUGCCCCACACACUGUGAACACUUAUCCCGGCACUGAUCCGUGUCAUGCGCAGUGAAAGAGUUAACGCCAGCUCAGCGACGACAAAAACCUCACGUAGAACAAAAGGACAAAAGCUGACUUGAUCCUAAUGGAAGUUUGAAUGUGCAUGUGUCACGGAUCGGUGCCACGCACACUGUACACUCAGCCCUGCACUGAUUCGUGUCAUUCGCAGGUAAAUAAGCUGUAUUUUUUAAGUGUACAUUAGUUCAACCAAACACAUUUUUCAAAGGUUCUACCGAUUUUUUACUAACAGAGUAAGGCGAAACGCGUGCGUCGUUCGCUCACAAGGCGGUGACUGUCACAGUACUGUUAAGUCAAGAGCACGGAGUGGCAUUUCGUUGCGUUGUGUCGUUCGUCGGUUUCGUGGCUCCGACAAGGCUUGCCUUUCGGAUACCCGGCUAGCGUUUGUGUGCUUCGUUUCGAGCGUCAACUAACCCCCACCCUGAUCCGAUUCGAUGAGACUGUCAGACGGAGAGUUUGAAUAACGCACGUUUCUUAACCCUUUCACUGCUACAUUUUUUUGGAAGACAUUUUCUACUGGCAAUGGAAGUUUGAAUGUGUAUGUGUCACGGAUCCGUGCCACGCACACUGAACACUCUGCCCGGCACUGAUCCGUGUCAUGCGCAGUGAAAGGGUUAACGCCAGCUCGGUGUGGACAGAAACCUCACGUAGAACAAAAAGACAAAAGCCGGCUUGAUCCUAAUAGAAGUUUAAAUGUGCAUGUGUCACGGAUCCGUGCCACGUACACUGUGAACACUCAGCCCGGCACUGAUCCGUGUCAUGCGCAGUCAAAGGGUUAAGACCAGCUCAGCGGGGUCAUAAACCUCGCGUUGAACAAAAGGGCAAAAGCUGGCUUGAUCCUAAUGGAAGUUUGAAAGUGCAUGUGUCACGGAUCCGUGCCACGCACGAUGUGGACACUUAUCCCGGCACUGAUUCGUGUCAUGCGCAGUGAAAGGGUUAAAACCAGCUCGGAGAGAACAGAAACCUCGCGUAGAACAAAAGGGCAAAAGUUGGCUUGAUCCUAAUGGACGUUUAAAUGUGCAUGUGUCACGGAUCCGUGCCUCGCACACUGUGAACACUCAGCCCGGCAUUGAUUCGUGUCGUGCGCAGUGAAAGGGUUAAGACCAGCUCAGCGAGGUCAUAAACCUUGCGUAGAACAAAAGGGCAAAAGCUGGCUUGUUCCUAAUGGAAGUGUGAAUGUGCAUGUGUCACGGAUCCGUGCCACGCACGCUGUGGACACUUAUCCCGGCACUGAUCCGUGCCAUGCGCAGUGAAAGGGUUAAAGCCAGCUCAGAGGACAGAAAACUCACGUAGAACAAAAGGGCAAAAGCUGGCUUGAUCCUGAUGUUCAGCAUGCAUAGGGACUGCGAAAGCACGGUCUAUCAAUUCUUUUGGAUUGAAGAGUUUUCAGCAAAAGGUGGCGAAGAGUAACCACAGGGAUAACUGGCUUGGCGGCCAAGCGUUAAUAGCGAUGUCGCUUUUGGUUCUUCUAAGGAGAAGGAUCAAAAGCGACAGGCUGCUCACCCAUAGACAGGGAACGUAAGCUAGAUGUAGACCGUCGUGUGACAGGUUUUAUCGUAAUAAAGCUUGGUUGUUGCGAUAGUAGUCCUGCUCAGUACGAGAGGAACCAAAGGUUCGGAAAAUGGUUGACGCACUUACUCGAGUGGGUAAUGAUGCAAAGCUCUUAAGACCUCUAAGACCGUAUCCUUUCUAGACAAAGUUGGCAACGAUAUCUAUUGGAGUUCCGAGAAUCGAAAGGGUCAAAACAAUGUGACUUUACUAUGCAAUCGUAGCUCGCUACGAUUGUCACACGAGCCCCUAUUUCCGUUGAGAUUAUCGGUUACGGUGGGAUCGAUCUUUGCCAGUAGACUAGAUCUUUAGACGGACGAACAGGGGUAUUAUAAAACUUUUUGAUGUUGGAACUUGGAAUUGUCUGUAGACGACGUACCUGACGGGGUGUUGUGCCUGGUAGAGCGGCCUCCAGCUUGGGAAUUCGUCGAGACCCAUGGUAUAAUUAAAAAUAAAGCCGUCUGAAAUUCGGAGUAACGGAGUUCCACUCCGUUAGAAGGUAUUUUUGAAACAUUUCGUUAAAAUAGUACUCAUUUCGAUAAAAUAUUAUUAGAUUCUUAAAAAAAUUACUUAAAUUUGUUGUUUUUAUAGUACAUUAAUGCAGGUUUCAUUUUUUUCAUUAGAAUAGCAAAAAAAGUAACAGCGAUAGAGCCAGACGACCCAAAUUAAAUGUUUUUUUUUGUUUUGGUAUUUUUUUAAUUUAAUUUGGAUUUUUAUUUCCACAUUUUUGCAAAGACCGUCCAAUAAUGUAGAAUAUUAUGAAGAUUAUUGCUGGAUAGUCCAGUGAAAAUAAUGUUCUUAUUAUAAAUAUAUCUAAUCUUAAAAUGCUUAUUUACCGUUCAAGUAACUUAUCUCGAUUUUUCUCACACGUGUCUUAUAUUUUAUAUUUUGUGGGUUUUCUAAAGUUCAUCUAAUGCAUUUUACAAAAAAUAUCAGACCGUUACUCCUUUAAAUACAACGCAGUCUACUGCUAUUAAUUAACUAGCAUUUUGCAUUUGCAUUUGUUGAUGAAAAAAUAAGUGAAGUCUGUAACUCCUAACUUAUAUUAGGUUUGUUCGUAGUACGAUCCAAUCGAUCAGCAACCGUUGCCAACCAUCAGACGCAUGCGCAGUUAACAGUUAGCGCUGCGCAGUUAACAGUUCGAGUUCGUAGACUACGAACGCGCUUGCGUCAUGACGGUUGGCAACGGUUGCUGAUCGUUCUACGAACAAACCUAUUAAGUAAAAAUUAAUAUUUAACUAUGUAUAAAGUUUCGGGUUAGGGAAUGAGGAAAGUAUCUAUUCUAAAAUUGCAUUCUAGAUAGGUUAUUUGAUUAGGUAAUUGUUAUAAAUUCGAUACUGCCUGAAGGGUCUCAAAUAUUUUAAUUUUGAAGUUCGUAAAUGAAAAAAAAAUAUUUUUUUAUACGUCUUGAAAUCUUCAGUGUUAAUUAAUUUGAUUAAUCGUUUGGACAUAACAAAGUAAAACAACAACAAUGAAAUCCAUAGAAAAUAUACCCUUUAAAAUAUAAAUAAAAUCACAUAACAAGGAAUUUUAAUGGACAAUUAAGACACUGAAGCUGGAAAAUCAAAGACUAUAUUAUUUUUAGUGCAUAGGGAUUAUUAUUAAUUUAUCUGUAUAUGUAUAUAAUUUUGAGUCUCGACAUCUUGAAGUGACAUUAGAAAUAUCUGUAGGAUUAUAAUUAAUUGUGAAAUAAAAAAUUUUUAGUUUUAA
rnacentral:lncRNA from 1 species